rnacentral:rRNA from 1 species
UACGUAGGGGGCAAGCGUUAUCCGGAUUUACUGGGUGUAAAGGGUGCGUAGCCGGAAAGGUAAGUCAGAUGUGAAAGCCCGAAGCUCAACUUCGGGACUGCAUUUGAAACUACCUUUCUAGAGUGUAGGAGAGGAAAGUGGAAUUCCUAGUGUAGCGGUGAAAUGCGUAGAGAUUAGGAGGAACACCAGUGGCGAAGGCGACUUUCUGGACUAUAACUGACGGUGAGGCACGAAAGCGUGGGGAGCAAAC